rnacentral:rRNA from 1 species
UGGUCUUGACAUCCAGAGAACCCUGCAGAGAUGCGGGGGUGCCUUCGGGAGCUCUGAGAC